UACAGAGGGUGCGAGCGUUAAUCGGAAUUACUGGGCGUAAAGCGCGCGUAGGCGGCUUUGCAAGUCGGGUGUGAAAUCCCCCGGGCUUAACCUGGGAACUGCAUUGGUGACUGCAUUGCUGGAGUACGGCAGAGGGGGAUGGAAUUCCGCGUGUAGCAGUGAAAUGCGUAGAUAUGCGGAGGAACACCGAUGGCGAAGGCAAUCCCCUGGGCCGAUACUGACGCUGAGGAGCGAAAGCGUGGGGAGCGAACAGG
rnacentral:rRNA from 1 species